AUUGAACGCUGGCGGCAGGCCUAACACAUGCAAGUCGAGCGGAUGAAGGGAGCUUGCUCCUGGAUUCAGCGGCGGACGGGUGAGUAAUGCCUAGGAAUCUGCCUGGUAGUGGGGGAUAACGUCCGGAAACGGGCGCUAAUACCGCAUACGUCCUGAGGGAGAAAGUGGGGGGUCUUCGGACCUCACGCUAUCAGAUGAGCCUAGGUCGGAUUAGCUAGUUGGUGGGGUAAAGGCCUACCAAGCCGACGAUCCGUAACUGGUCUGAGAGGAUGAUCAGUCACACUGGAACUGAGACACGGACCAGACUCCUACGGGAGGGAGCAGUGGGGAAUAUUGGACAAUGGGCGAAAGCCUGAUCCAGCCAGGCCGCGUGUGUGAAGAAGGUCUUCGGAUUGUAAAGCACUUUAAGUUGGGAGGAAGGGCAGUAAGUUAAUACCUUGCUGUUUUGACGUUACCAACAGAAUAAGCACCGGCUAACUUCGUG
rnacentral:rRNA from 1 species